GUGGGGGAGAGUGGAGGGAGGCAGCAGAGCAGCAGUGAGAGGAGCAGCGGCCACACGAGAGGAGGGAGACAGUGUACACUCUGACCCACACCACCACCACCAAGGACAACACCAUCACUAUGUCAGCAGCACACUUGAGGCACCUGGUGGGUGUGGCGGUGCUCUUCACCACACUACACUAUGGCUCUGCUGCGACCUGCAGUACCGAGAACAUUUUUGGACAAACCAGUUACAUGACGUGUCCACAGUUAACAGAUGCACAAGAUAAAGUGUACUGCUGUGGAACCAAGAGAAGUCGCUACUGUUGUGACACCCCAUAUGGAGUUGAUGAUGAAGUUCUCAAGCAAUUUGCUGACAAAGCUGCAGUGUCUCUGGCUCAGGUACAGCCAAGUCCUGAGGUAGCCAAGACUGUUGAAGAUCAAGAAGGUGUUCGCUCAACUGUGGAUCGCAUCAAAGUGAAGCUCAAUGAUACUGUUACUGCUGCAAAGGACAAAGUUAAAGAAAAAGUAGGCAUUGACAAGGUCAAAGAUAAAAUAAAAGAAAAGGUCAAAGACAAAGUAAAAGAAAAGGCAGCUAAAAAACUGGACCCAACGGGUGGGCAUAUAAAGUCACUUCCAGUGAUUCUUGGAGUUAUUGGUGCACUGAUUUUAGGUUUGAUUGCCAUAUGCAUUGUUUGCUGCUGCUGUUGCCCCUUCUGCCUCCUUCACAAGCACCGCAACCAAGGAACGGUCCAUCAACCAAAACCUGAAGCUUCAGUGAUGCAGCCACUCCAGAGCCAACCACAGCCAUAUCCAACACAAGCUGGAUAUGCACCACAACCAGGCUAUGCCCCUCAACCUGGAUACCCACCACAGCCAGGCUACCCCCAGCAGCAGCCAUACCCAACACAGCCCUACCCACCUGCAGGUUACCCAGCUGACCAGCCUCCAGCCUACUCUGAGAAGCAGUUGGCAUACAACCCCAACUACCAGUAAUGUUGACCAUCUUUACACUGAUGCACAUACUCAGAACUCGUCAACUGCACCAUCUGCUAUUGGCUAGUUCAUGUAAAUUUAAAGAAUUUUGUGAUGGACUGUUUUUAUGCAUGUAUCGACGUGUGGUUCUCCCACGAACUUUAGCUACAUAUCACUUUAACAGAAGCAAGUGUUUUAAAGACCUUUUUAUUUGUGUCGACAUUGUGCAUAUAUAAAAGAUCUGAAAAUGCAAAUGAUAAUGCUGUGUAAACAUUCAGGCUGUCAUUGAUUUUUUGUAUUAAUGUGGGUAAAUAUGAGCUGGAACUAAAUGUGUUCUCAAAACUUCAAUAUUAUUGCAUGGUUAAACUGUUCAACAUUUUUUUGUUCAGUGGGGGAGGGCGGGUGUCUGACAAGUUUAAUACUUUCAUAUGUUAAUAUCAGUCGGAGUAUCAUUUAGUUUUUUGUAAAUUAGUACAGUAUCUAGAAUUGAGAAUAACAGUUGAGAGGUAUCAGUGCAACUAUUUUUAUAAAUUAACUAUGAAUCAGCAACAUGUAAAUGAAGUUGAUAUAUUAUGGAAUAUACCUUGUAAUAUAUGUACUGUACAGGGUGUCCCUGAAUUGGCUAUCUAUUUCUAUGAUAUUGGACGAAUAUUAUUAAAACCUACAUAAUUUAAUAUUACCUUAUUUGAAUAUAAAACGGAUAGCUUUAUAGAUAUGUCAAAACUUUAUAGAGAACUUUCAACAUGUGUUUCAUCUGAAUCCCUUUCAGAUUUAACCUUAGUGUUGUGAAACACAUUUUGCACUAAUCCACUUCAUUUAAAUUUCAAGUUUACGAAUCAGUUUCUGUAAGAAUAGUUCUUGAAAUUUUGUUGUAAAUUUUUCUCUGAUUUCGUUAUCGCAAUCCUUUGAUACGGGAUGUCACAAUAAAGGUUUGUUGUUGUGCAUUCAUUAUUAGGGUUCUCUCUCAAAAUAAUAAUAAUUUAUAAAUAUUUACAUUUAUAACACAAAACAUGAUAAACAUGAGUUUUUUUUUUUUUAUUCAUAAAAUUUCAUAGAAAUAGAUAGCUAAUUCUGGGACACACUGAAUUUCCCAUUACUUGUUUGUAUUAUGUAUCUUAUGGUGGAAACAUUAUUUAAUCACUACUGUGGGCUGCAUGCCAAUAAUAUAUUUUAAAGCUUAGACAAAAAUGUAUUAAGUGUGUAUAGAAUGAAGUUGUGCUCUUGGUGGUGAUCAUCAUUGCAUGUGCAGGGUUACCCAGUGUUGAGGACCUGCACGUGGUGGUGAUCACUGUUGCACGGUGCUGUGGGGUUACCCAGUGUUGAGGACCAGCACGUGGUGGUGAUCAUUGUUGCACGGUGCUGCGGGGUUACCCAGUGUUGAGGACCAGCACGUGGUGGUGAUCAGUGUUGCACGGUGCUGCGGGAUUACCCAGUGUUGAGGUCCAGCACGUGGUGGUGAUCACUGUUGCACGGUGCUGCGGGAUUACCCAGUGUUGAGGUCCAGCACGUGGUGGUGAUCAUUGUUGCACGGUGCUGCGGGAUUACCCAGUGUUGAGGUCCAGCACGUGGUGGUGAUCAUUGUUGCACGGUGCUGCGGGAUUACCCAGUGUUGAGGUCCAGCACGUGGUGGUGAUCAUUGUUGCACGGUGCUGCGGGAUUACCCAGUGUUGAGGACCUGCACGUGGUGGUGAUCAUUGUUGCACGGUGCUGCGGGAUUACCCAGUGUUGAGGUCCAGCACGUGGUGGUGAUCAGUGUUGCACGGUGCUGCGGGGUUACCCAGUGUUGAGGACCUGCACGUGGUGGUGAUCACUGUUGCACGGUGCUGCGGGGUUACCCAGUGUUGAGGACCAGCACGUGGUGGUGAUCACUGUUGCACGGUGCUGCAGGGUUACCCAGUGUUGAGGACCUGCACUUGGUGGUGAUCACUGUUGCACGGUGCUGCGGGGUUACCCAGUGUUGAGGACCAGCACGUGGUGGUGAUCACUGUUGCACGGUGCCAUGGAGGUUACCCAGUGUUGAGGACCUGCACGUGGUGGUGAUCACUGUUGCACAGUGCUGCAGGGUUACCCAGUGUUGAGGACCUGCACUUGGGCCAUGAUUGCUAAUGAUUUUAGUUUUGUUUUUUUACUUUAAACCUUCUCUGUUCUGUUUGACAUAUUUUUCCUGCAUGCCUUCAAAGUUGCUGCCUUUUUUUUCCAUCCAUUUUAUAAUUUUAUUACAGAAUAAGCUCUCUAAGCAACUUUAUUUUUUACGUUAACAAUAUCGGUAAAUUAACUUGACUCUCCAUCUUGAAAUACUAUGUCUGUUUCAUAUCUUAUAUUAUUGUACAGUAACCAUAUAUUUUGUUAAUGUGUGCAAAGAAUAGUUUGCUAGGUUAGAAGUGUAAGGAAUUAUGACAUUUUCAAUAGUAUAGCCUUGAUUUAAGAGGAAAAUGUUGCUAGUGAGCAUUAUGCUAUGUACAUCACAAUUCAGUAGGAUCGCUCGUGCAAAGCUUUCCACUCACCGUAGUCGUGACACUUCUUGCAUUCCUCACCAUCAGUCGCUGCACAAAUAUGAAUUUCUCAACUUUAGAAUAUCACUUAUAUUGAUGUUAGAAUUUUGUAAUACUGUUAUUAGACAAAAUUGGAAACUAUUUUCUUUUAUGUAUUUUCUGUAUUAUGUAAAUAGAGGUAUUUCACAGAUCACCUUGUUUGAUACACUUUCCCGGUUCACUGUGGACUGAAGUCUUACUCGUAACAUUUUGCAUUCUUUAACACUGGUCGAGCCAAUGCAUAGGAUGUUUUAGCAAAUGUUUUGACCCUUUUGCAGUUUAGGGUAUUAAAUGUGCAAUCAUUUGGCUGUCAUGUUAAAAGAGGAAUUGGGUAAUGAAACGUGUUGAAUGUAGAAGACGUCUUUCGGAAACUGAGACGUUCAUUCUGCUCACCGAUCCUCUGUACGAUUAGUAUAUCCCCAAGAUUUUGCAUAUCUUCAUAUCUAAGAAAAUUAAGGAUUUUUUGUUAUCAAUCCAGAGAAGUUUGUGUUGCAUUAAUCUGAGAUUUUCAUUUAAUUUUGUUUCCCUUGUGAUAAAUUGUUGCUUAAAACAUAGCAAAGCCUAUCAAUAGGACUUAACAGUUUCUGAUCUAUCUUUCCCCCCCCCUGCCUUCCCAAAAAUGUUUUAUUUAAUUUUUGCAUCAUUAACUUGUCUAUUUUUCAAUUUGCCACAUUAUUUAAUAAGUCUUGCAUUUGUAAUGUACCCAUUUCCACAUUGGCCACAAUUGUCUACCCCUUGACGUAAGUACGCUCAAGAUUUACAACAAAUGGGGUCAACUUUUUAAUUAGGUAGUGUAGUUCAUAAACCUUAUAGGACUCACUAGAUAUGUGGUACAGUACAGUAUGUGUUUACUCAGAUCUUGAAAGUUUUCAAUGGUUACCCUCCUAACUUAGAUUUACUGUCCUCCCAGAUGUGACUUCCUCAGUCACAUCUUUGUACUAGAGAUGCAAGUAUUAUCUCCUGUAAGUUUGUAUGAUUAUAUAAAGUUCUUGUUUAUUCAAGGAUAAUACAAGAUCUUUGUUAAAGGCACGAGGUAAUGAAAAAUUUGUUUUGUAGCAUCUUAAGUAACAGCUUUUCUCCAAUUUCACAUUUAAUUUUUUUUAUUUAUUUAACAAUUUUCACAUUUGUUAAAAUAAUAUACGGGUUAGAUUACUUUAUGGAAAGUUCCUCUGCAGUUGUGUGAUUGCAACAGGAUUUUAAUUUGAGGAUAAGUGUUAAGUGUUACCUUGUUAAUGUUAAAUGUAAUCAUUGCAACUGUAGCUAUGGGAUAAAACCUGUAUGAAAUAUUACUGCCAUUUAUUGUUCUCAUAAAUACCUUUACACGCUAAUAUACGCAUGCAUUAUUCUAAAUACAUUAAAUGCAGUUUGAUGUACUAGUGUAUACUCCACACUUCUGAGUGCACAAGUGAGUACAUGCAGUAUGCAUGCCAUACAUGAUGCUGCAUAAUAACAGGCAUGCAAGUAUUGGCGUGUUUACACUGCCUCUGUGUUAAUGUCUACGUUCACAUACACUGUAUGUACAGUAAUUCAGUAUUGCCGACUUGUUCCCACUUUAUCACCUAUGUCUUUAGACUUUUUGUUUGUUUAUACAAGUAAUAUCUAAAUUAGUCAAUGUUAGACUGUAGCUAUAUUAUUUUUGUAUUGACAUGUUAAUGUGUAAACGAAACCAUGGAAGAAAAGAUUCGUUGUAAUAGCGACGUUCUGAUGUCGCAGAUUGUGUAAUGAAAGCAAUUUUCAAUACUUAUUCUCUAAAGAUGAAAUUAUAUGUGUGAAUUAAGUUUCCUUUAAUGAUUGUAUUGAUAUAAAAUUUCAAGUUAAUAAAAGAUAAAAUUUUAAAGAAUGUCUAAUAAUCAUAUGGAACUAUAGUCUUAUUUAAUACUUUUAAAUUAUUGUAGUUGUAUCAUGUUCCAUUAAUGGGACUUAUGUUACACAAAAGAUUUAGAUUUUCAAGAGACAAUUAAAUCUUUAUUAAGGUUGUAAUUACCCAGGGAAAGUUACAGGUGGAGCUAGGCUUGUUGUCCCUUUUUCAUGUCAUCAUGUAGUGUUCAAUAGAUUUCAAUGGUGUUGGCCAACAGUACCCUCUCCAUUAAUUUAUUCCAUCCAUUUACCUCUGCAGUACAGUAUAAUUUUUUUAUGCCUUUGUUUUGUAUAUGUAUUUGUCCUUUUCUUCUCAGUGUUACGAGUUUCAAGAAUCUUUCAUACUCUAUAACAAAAGAAAAAGAAAAAAUACAUUCUACAGUUAGUACUACUAUUACUACUACUAACAACUAUAGAAUGCCCCUUUUUUUUCUUUUGCUUCAACUUUUGAUCUGGUGCUUAAAAACUUUCCUCGAAGCUCUUACGCUAUUUUGUCUCAAACUAUUACAUUCUACUAUUAGUCUAGUAGAAUGUUAGUAGAACUAACAUUCUACUAGACGUAGAAUGUCUACACCUUUGUUAAAGUAUGGACAUCAAACAGUUUAAUAAUUUCUUCAUUACUGUAUUUGAAGGCUAUUCUGAAAUGAUCAAAGUAACAUAGGCUUCUCCUUGAUGUGUGAUCCUUGAGGUUGCCCUUAAGUGUCUUUUUCACUACUAAGUUUGUAUUUUUGCUUAACUUGUAAACUAAAUUUGGCCUUGUUGUGCCCAUUGCACACAAUUUUGGUCUUAUAUUGUGUGUUACUCCAUGCAAUUACUUUUUCUAGUUCUUUUUGAAGGGCAUGGUGCUUCAUUUUUCCCCACUCUGAAAUCGAGUGGGUAAAACAUUGCCACUCCAGGUAAAUCGUAUAAAUAUUGUAUGGACUUCACUAGUGCCUAAUACCAAGGCUUGUGGGAUCCUGCCAGUAACAUUUCUCCAGUUUUAAAAUUUAUUGUUUUUAAUCAUUGCAUACAUCUUGAUAGAAUAUUUUUGUUCCCAAGUGGUAAAUUUUUGUGGUGUUGUGAUGUGUGCCACCUUCCAGAGCACUCUCCUGAUGGGCACUUUAUCAAACACCAUAUUUAAGUCCACACACACAUCAAGAUCAAAUCUACCAACCAUCUCUAAAAUAUCAUUGUAUAUCAUAAAAAGUAAUUUAAAUUCAAAGUGCAUGGUGUUCCCGUUUGAAAAUUUAACUUGUUUAAUUUUUAUUAGUACUGGAUACCUGUUAAAUAGGUUUUCUGGUAAGAUUAAUUCUUAAAUGCAUACAUGUUCUUUCACUGGUACUGCAACUCAUUCACUUCUCCUAUUUUGUAUGUCUUCUCCAAAGUGAAUAGCCCCUUCGUAAUACCACCACAUUUAAUGACUACACCCUACUUUCAAUGUCAUCCUUUAAUUUUGAGCAUUUCUGAGCAUUUUUGCUAUUUAUGUCCCUAUUACUCACUUUAGGUAGUGGACCUUUUACUUCUCACACCUCCUGCUGUAAUGAACUUACAUUCUCAUUGUGAAGCUUUUAACUGUAUCUACAACUUUCACCGAGUUCUUUUCCUCUUCUAUGGCAUUCUCUAUCUUUAAUGCCAUUUCCUUUUUCUUUACAACGAAGAACUUUAAUUGACUUUGAUCUACCUGGCUUGACACCUUCUGCUCAUAAUUACUUAUGUGGGUCUACUAUACUAUAUUUUGAACCAGUUUGUGAUUUGUGAUGGAUUCCUUUCUAAUCUCUGUAAUGGUCACCCGUUCACUACUAUCCAUAGCUUCCCUACUUUUGUAUAUUUGUGGCAAUAUUUUUUAUUAGAUAAAUGGAGAACUUCAGUGUUCGUACCUUUCCAUCGUCAAGGCUUGUAUAUAGUUGAAAUAGUCAUUACAACUUGUGUGUUUAUAGUAGAUCAAGAAUAUUUUUUUGUUAAGUAGCAUUUAAAUAGAUGUAGGAUCGUUAAUAUAUUAUAGAUUUUUAUAGUUAAAUUGAUGAGCUGUGUUAAAAGGAGUGUUUAUUUUUUUUUUUAAAUUGAAAUAUUAAAAUGUUAUUACCUUUCAGUGUUUGUUGUACGAGUACUGUACAUGCAGACAUGCUUCUUUCUAAUCUUACACUUUUGGUGUUCUAAAGUCGAAACGAUCCUAUAUACUGUAUCUAAAUGUGAUAUAAUGUGUGAAAUUUAAAGUUGAUGCAGAUUUUCACACUUGACUAUAAAUUCUCGACUAGAUGUGAUACCUGAUAAUCUCAACAUUUAUAUUAUUAAUAUUUAUAAGAUAAGGCAUGUUGCACUGGUUUAAAGUUAUAUUAAACAUUGUGCAAGUUCAGUGUUUAAUAAGGCAUGUUGUGUUUAAGUUGCUAGUUAUGAGAUGGAAGGCAGUGAAAAAUAUUGUUGCUUCAGUAAACUAUCCACCACAACUAAGCACAUGCCUCAAUGGAAACAAUGAAGCUGGCUUUUGUAAAUUGGAUGCAGCUUGAGCUACAGAUUUUUGGGUUUGGUCACCACCAAUACACAAGGUUGUUGGUGUGGAAUUAACAUGUUAGAAGGAUUAUAUAUUGUGAAUGUUGAUGACAGUGUUGGAUAUAAUAAACUACACGCCUAAUGGGAAUGUGAGAAACUGUGCUCCAAUGUGAAGUAUGUUUGGAUAGUGAAGUCAAAUUAAAUAGAAUUUAAUAGUUACAGUAUUUAUGAAAGUGUGAACCAAGACAUCACGAACUAAAAAAGCAAGUGUUUCAUCAGAGCAUCAUAGCUGAAAUAAAGAUUUCAAUGUGGAAUGGUUUUAAAUAAUUUGAAACCAUCUCUUUCUUGGGUAAGAGAUGGGCAGAUUUUGUAUUGGUCUCCCAUGCCAGGCUGUUUUAAAAUUGAGAAACUUGUGCUAAAACUACAGUGGUUGGCCAGCGGUUUGGGAGACUUGUUUUAGUAUUAAAAGUAUUGCCAUGUAUCACAAAUGUUUUGCUUUAAUUUGACAAUAAAAAUAACCGACUUUA
rnacentral:misc_RNA from 1 species